rnacentral:misc_RNA from 1 species
CCUAGAGCUGUAGGCUUUGCCUGCUAUCUCUUACCCAUGUCUUUUGAGUACCUUACGUUUCCUCGGUGGGUUCGCCCACCGAUUGGACAAACUUAAACCCUUUGCAGUUGAAAUCAGCGUCUGAAAAAACUUAAUAGUUA